rnacentral:sRNA from 1 species
AAUUAACAAAUUUGUCUUUAACUCAUGUAAUCAUAUAUAUGAAAGUUGGCCAACUCUCUCCAUAUGGGUGACACAUCAUCACACAAGAAAAUAACAUGUGUCAUUUAAUAUUGAUUA